GAUAGAUAGUGUUUAUUGUAGUGGAAAGAGGAGAUCAUGAAAGCAUUUCUUAGGUGAGCGGCUUCAAAUAGGUCAACAAUCCUUUCAGCCACAAAAGAGUUAAAUGACAAAGGGACAGAUGAAUUUAUAAUUGACACAAGGCAAAGGUACACAGGGGAAGGAAGAGAUUCUCAGGGAACUGGAAGCAUCAGAACUCUUGCAGGCCUUAAGGAUAUUCAGAGUGCCAUCAAAGAGCGAUAGAAAGGAAACAGAAAGGAUGUGCUAAAGAGAGAUAGAAGGAAAGCUCAAAGAAGCAUUGAUCAGGGAUGUGUAGGCGAGAGUGUCAGAGAUGCUGAGCAACCUUUUGAUCCAAUCCAUUCUGGUUUGUCUGGAUGGUGAAGGCUCGGCAUUCCUGACACCAUACAAUCAUAGAAUUCUAGAGUUGGAAGGGACCACAAGGGCCAUCAAGUCCAACCCUCUGCAAUGCAGGAAUCUCAACUACAGCAUCCAUGACAAAUGGCCAUUAGACGUUGAUCCAUGGUGUGCAUUUCAGGUACCAUUCCCCACACCCCGUUCCUGUGGGGGAUCACAAUCCCAUUCGAAAGAGAGACAAGCUCAUCUUCGUCUCAGUAUAGGAACUGUCGCUGGAUGAGAAGGGAGAUUGUAAGCAAAAGAAUUUGGGUGCAUCAGUGAAGGCAGCUGCAUUGCUGAUGAAGGAGCAUGCAUGCUAGCCUGAGUUAUCUGGGCAGGGGUGGGGUUGGGGAGAGUCGUGUUUGUUCCCUGUUUCAUAACAUCAAUCUCCAUCUCCACCCACACUGUCAUCGGCCUAAGUGUUCCGUCGGCUGCCUUUGUUAAUACUUCAAUAGGCAUGCUGCAUUUCAUAAUGGGUGUCAUUGCAGCUGUAGUCAUUGUAGAACAACUGGUGUGAAUCUGGAAAAAAUAACAUGGAAGUGUUUAAGAUGGUGUACUCUAAUGUCUACUCAGAUUCUGUUUUAAUUACAAAUUUUGCAUCAAUAAAUACUAUGAGCAAUCUUUUCUGAAAGUGGUGUCCAGUUACAUCACAGUAAAUAGUCUAAUAUAACAAGCAGAUAGAUUUUUAGCAGGCGAUAUACAGACACACAAAAAAACAAAAAAACCCUUAUCCUCCCAACUUUUUCUCCCUUUUUUUGGCAGAAUGAGGUCUUCGUUCCUCACACACCUGCAUGGCAACAGCAUGAGGCGAGUCAAAACUACAAAUUUGAGGAGGGGGGUAUACAAGUUCAAAGAGUGACCUUAGGUGGUCCUUGGUUACUUUGUUAAAGGCUUAGUCAGAUAAAAAAACUCUCCUGUACAGUCAUACCUCGGAAGUCGAACAGAAUCCAUUCCGGAAGUCCAUUUGACUUCAGAAACAUUCAGAAACCAAAGCGCGGCUUCUGAUGGAAUGCAGGAAGCUAUUGCAGCCAAUCGGAAGCCACAGAAGCCCCAUUGGAUGUUCGGCUUCCAAAAAUAGUUCGCAAACUGGGACAGUCACUUCCGGGUUUGCAGCGUUCGGGAACCAAAGCGUUUGAGAACUAUGCUGUUCGAAAACCAAGGUACAACUGUAUUACCCUUAGUAUCUGAAUAGAGUGAAUCCUCAUUCCUCAUAAUGCACUUUGUGUCCCUGGAUUAGACAAUCCACUCAGGAUAAAA
ensembl:lncRNA